rnacentral:tRNA from 1 species
GCGGCCGUAGCUCAAUGGCGGAGCCCUCGGAUGUGGCCCGAGAGGUUGCAGGGUUCGAGUCCCGCCGGCCGCCCCA